rnacentral:lncRNA from 1 species
AUAAUAAUAAUAAUAAUAAUAAUAGGAUUAAUUUUAUUUGUACCCUCACAAAAUUAUAAAAUAUCAUAAAUAUUCUUUUAAUUUUUUAAAUUUCACAAAUACCUUUCUAAAAUAAUAUUUUUUUCAUAUAUACUGUCACCGUUACUUUUUACCAACUUUCGUUAACAUAGCAUUUUUUUUUAUUUUAUUUCAAAAUAUGAAAUUAUCAUUUUAUCUU